rnacentral:rRNA from 1 species
CUGCAGCCUGCAACCCGGCUGCACGAAGCUGGAAUCGCUAGUAAUCGCGGAUCAGCAUGCCGCGGUGAAUACGUUCCCGGGCCUUGUACACACCGCCCGUCACACCAUGGAAGUCUGCAAUGCCCGAAGCCGGUGGCCUAACCACUUAUGUGGAAGGAGCCGUCUAAGGCAGGGCAGAUGACUGGGGUGAAGUCGUAACAAGGUACC